rnacentral:rRNA from 1 species
CGCCGCGGUUAUACGAAAGACUCGAACUGACAGAAAUCGGCGUAAAGAGUGAUUAAGGAAGACACAGCCCAGAGCCAAAUAGCCACUAAGCCGUCGCACGCACAAGCAAGCUAGAAGAACUUUACUAAAGUAGCCCUGCCACCCCUGAACUCACGAUAGCUAGGAAA